GGUGCGGUGGCCAAGCGGCAAGGCGUCGGUCUUGUAAACCGAAGACCACGGGUUCAAAUCCCGUUCGUACCU